AUUGAACGCUGGCGGCAGGCCUAACACAUGCAAGUCGAACGCGAGGCGGACGGGUGAGAAAUGUGUGGGGAACUGUCCGCUAGGGGGGGAGAACUACAGGGAACGGUAGCUCUUAUCGCGUACGAUCUGAGAUGCCCACGUGGGGUUAGCUAGUGGGUGGGGUAACAGCGCACCACGGCGACGAUCCCUAGCUGGUCUGAGAGGAGGACCAGCCACACGGGAACUGAGACACGGUCCAGACUCCUACGGGAGGCAGCAGUGGGGAAUAUUGCACAAUGGGCGCAAGCCUGAUGCAGCCAUGCCGCGUGUAUGAAGAAGGCCUUCGGGUUGUAAAGUACUUUCAGCGGGGAGGCGUUACUCGCAGAAGAAGCACCGGCUAACUCCGUGCCAGCAGCCGCGGUAAUUC
rnacentral:rRNA from 1 species